AGUGAACGCUGGCGGCGUGCCUAAUACAUGCAAGUCGAACGGAAUUUAAAAGAGCUUGCUCUUUUAAAUUUAGUGGCGCACGGGUGAGUAAUAUAUAGCUAAUCUGCCCCUUGCUGGAGGACAACAGUUAGAAAUGACUGCUAAUACUCCAUACUCCUUUUUACCAUAAGAUAAAUCGGGAAAGAAUUUCGGCAAGGGAUGAGACUAUAUCGUAUCAGCUAGUCGGUGGGGUAACGGCCUACCGAGGCUAUGACGCGUAACUGGUCUGAGAGGAUGAUCAGUCACAUUGGAACUGAGACACGGUCCAAACUCCUACGGGAGGCAGCAGUAGGGAAUAUUGCGCAAUGGGGGAAACCCUGACGCAGCAACGCCGCGUGGAGGAUGACACUUUUCGGAGCGUAAACUCCUUUUGUUGGGGAAGAAUAAUGACGGUACCUAACGAAUAAGCACCG
rnacentral:rRNA from 1 species